ensembl:lncRNA
CCGCGGGGGCUGGGGCCUUCGGGGAGCAGUUGGCGGCCGGGCUCCUCGUGGGACGCGGGGUUUGGGGUUGGUUCGGAGGGGUUUGGUUGCUGUUUGGCUUUUUCCGACGGUUCCGUCUCGGCCGGGAGCGGCUGGGCUUGGCGGUGCCGCUCCCGUUGCUGCGCGGUCUGAGCGCGGGCGGUCGAGUCGCGGCUGCCGGCGGCGGCUGCCCCGGCGCCCUCACAGCGCUCCUCACAGCGCGGAGCUGCGUCACGCGGCGGAGGGGCCCUCAGCCCGCUGCACCCCCGGGCGCUGCGCCAGCGCCUCAGUGCCGUCCGGAAGGACGGGAUGGAGCUCUGGGGGCAGCAGCUGUCAUCCGAUGGUGGGGAAGGUGUAGGAAAAGGGCUCCUCAGGUCAACUCGGAAGCCGGAGAAGAAAGGAAAACGCCUGCGCUCGGUCCGCGUUCCCCCGGCGGAGCGGGUCGGCACCUCGCCGCUCUUCGCUGCUGCCACAUGUACAGCUCCUCACCUCGAGACGUCUUCCCGGGCGUCUGGCUUCGCCUCUGCCUCACAGACAGCGCUGCGUGUGGCGUAAAUAGGCCGUUGUAUUGCACGGUGACCUUUGCAGGAAAGUUAAGUUAGCUGAAGGAAUUUAUACCGUCCCGGGAGAAGGAUUCUUCUACCUUUGAUUUCGGCUGAUGAGGACAUGGCAGGAGGGUGUUCACAAAAAUAAGCAUCCGUAUAACCAAGCGUGAGGGCUGCUCCAAAAGUAAUGCCUCCUGAUUUUGAUUCUGUGAUUCUGUUUUGUUUUGUUGGCCCACAGCAUCCGAGGUGGAUGUUGUUGGUAUGGCAGUGGAGGCUGAACCUUCCCACCAACAUCUGUUACGUGAUGUUGCCGUGUGACGGAUGGCAGCAGAGGGGCAGUCUGACAAAGUGGCAUCCGACAUGGGAGUCCAUAUGAAGCAAAGGUGUGGAAUUAAAUUCCUCCAUGCGGAAAAAAUGGCACCCGCUGACAUUCAUUGAUGCUUGCUGAACAUUUAUGGAGGCAAUCAAUGGAUGUGAGCACAGGGAGGCGGUGGGUGGGUGCAACAGAUGUAAGCCACAUUCUGGAUGUCCAUGCACAGCUGUCACACCUCAAAGUGAAGAGAGUCUCAACCAGCUCACCUACGUGAAUCAGCUGAUGGUGAUAGCUGUGUUGAAAAAUAGUGUUUUGUAGCUGAAUUUUGCUCUAUCAUAACACAAAUUGUGUUAUCAUUCUCUGUUGUAGUUUCCAUGGAAAUAAAUAGGAAGCAUUACCUUCAGAGCAACCUCUGAAUGUAUGUGUAUGUGGCUGUAACCGCAUAGAAUUGCAAUCCUCUUUCAGUGCAGUGGAAAUCAAGGUUGGUGCUUGGAAGUCUUUGAUAUUACUGGAUCACAGUCAGGCACAAAUGAUUGUUACUAUCUCUCAGCCCUUACCUAUAUUCAUAGUAACUAACCAGAUAGAGCCAAAUCAAUAUAGCUCUGUUUUAAGUCAGCUCAAGUGUAGUCCCAAGAAGAUCACAGAAUCACAGAAUGUCAGGGAUUGGAAGGGACCUCAAAAGAUCAUGUAGUCCAGUCCCUCUGCCGGAUUCCCCGUUAUGUUUUUAGAAUUAGAAAUGUAGUUUAGCUAGGUUAAUGACACUUGGACUGAGCACAGAGUAUUACGUAGCCUUCCUUUGUUUUCAGUCGCAGGAAAGAAGAAUCAUUAUGCAAUCAGUAAAUCCCAUCGAAAGCUGCUGAUGUGGCCUGAAUUGUGGAUAGCAAAUACUGGUAUUGAACUUCUCAGUCUGUAGGCCGUUAUGAAUAACAAUGCCUGGAUAAGUCAGUCUGUAGAACACAUUUUGAGGAAGCAAUAAGACUUUGUAAAACAAAGAAGAGAAGCUGAGUAAUUUAUUCACUACAAAUACUUCAGUUGUUUUGUAUAAAAAAUUACUAUGUCAUCUUGAGACAAGUAGAGCCUCCCAGGCACACUACUGUGAGAUGUUGUGAGCUGUUCUGGAGGAAUAAUGGGAAUCCUAUCACGGUUUAAGUUAAUGAAACCUUACUGCUAACUGCAGAAAUGAUAAGAUUUCAUUCACAAAUAUUGAUAUUAUGUUGAAAGAAGCUUUUGAGACCUGAAAAGGCUACCUAAUUGAGUGCUGUAAAUAGGAUUAACCUCAAUUCAGGUAUCCUCUUUCCCUUUUUACUUUUUUCAGAUUAUGGGGAACAUUUGGAUGUGUGGCUUUCACUUUCCCCCCCCCUUCUCUAUGAAAUGUAUAGGAGGAAGGAAAGGAAGAUGAACGUUUUUGAAAAUGCCACCUUCCCCAAGUUAGCAAUGCUGCUCAUGUAUGAUUUUGCAGGGAAGAAAACAGCAUCUGAUGCCAUCUGCAGUCCUGGACCAAGCCCAAACUGUAACUCAGACUGAAAUGGAAUUUGUUGUUCUAGUACUGGGUCAGCUACAAAACCGCCUUUAGCAGCCUGCUCUCGGGAGAGAUUGCUUCCAGUGAAGCAGCUGGGAGACUGAAUUACUGCUCGGUGGCUGCAGAAGUGUUCAAGGUCAAAGUUAAGAACAGAAGUGAGAAAUGCGGUAAUGAACUCUUGAUUUGAGUUUGUUGAAGAUGACAGCUUAUUGCUUAGGUGAACAAAUAUACCCUGAAAAUUAUUUUAAGCAGAUAGUAGGGAUUGGGCUCAUCGUUUUCUGGAUGAGCAUUUUGUUCCAGACUGCAAACUGGAAUUCAAUUGUGAGCGUCCAGCCUAGCAGGUCAAACAGGUCCUGCCUCAUCCAGCCCGCUGCUCAUUCUUCAUGAGCUCCAGGAUUGUUAUAAACUAAUCUGUUAGUCACUGAAAAAAUCAUCUAAUGUUAUUUCAGGCCAGACCAGUCUUGCUUCUCAUUGAAUAAAGGCUGUGGAGGGCAAAAAUAAAAUGGUCAUGCAAUACAUUAUUAUAAAUCUAGGAGUUGUCUUUGGAGUGUACAGGAACAAUCUACAAUAGCAGAUCACUUUCGUGCUGUUUGCUUCUUUGCGAACCAGCUUCUCAACCUGGUAGGGUGUUUCUUUUUCUUGCUUGUUGUUGUAAGGAGUCAGUGUAGAAUUCAACUGUCUAACGCUUUACCUCGUGUUUACAUGAUGUGUUCCAUAGCAGCCAGCAUCAGCGCUGUUUGGACUUGCCAGCACUGGGCAGAGGAAGUAGGGUGCACAAACAAGGUUCAGCUCAGCUUACUAAUUGCAGUAAGUACCUAAAAUAUCAUUCAGAAAACUAUUAAAAGAAGUCUGUGCGAUAAAAGAUGUUAGAGAGGUAUUUAUGUCAAAACAGCGUUGUGAGGCAGCUCAGUGAGAGCACAGAUGUUUGGAAACAAGUGUUUGCAGUAGGCAGUGAUUACCACGUAUUUUUAUUUGUGUGUUUCUGUGUCAUUGAUGGCUGUUGAUAUAAAAUGCUCUCUUGCAGUAAGUUCAAAGCCAACCACCUACCUACUAAUUUUGUGAUGCAUUUACUGUUAAUCCUCCCCGUAGCCUUCCCUUUGUAGUUAUCUUCUAUAUGAAACUAUAUUUACUGGAAUUUGUACAGACCUUGAUCUUCAACUGACUUCAACAACGCCGUCACGUACAUCAAAAUAAAUAGAUCUUAGUGCAGCUUUCCUAUACUCCAAAUGGAUCUUUUGUGUGUUCUAAUAAUAGAUUAUGCUACACUAUUAACAUGUAAGGUAAAGAAAGUAAUCCUAAGUAACCAAGAUUGUAACAACGGGUUACUUGUAUUGUUUCACAAUGAAACAAUAUGAAAGUGCUAUCAGAAUGCUGUGACUAGUGACAAGUAUCUGCUGCCUGGAACCUGCCAGUUGCGCUUCCCAGAUAGCGCAGCUGGGAUCUCAGUAAGAACCUGGAGCUCUCCGAUGCCUCCACAUCAUGCGUGGCAACAGCAGUUGAACAGCACAGAGGACCAUGGAAUAUGAGGCUCUGGGCAGCCUGGUCUAGUGGUUGGCGACCUUGCCGUGGCAGGGGGGGUUGAAACUAGCUGAUCUUUGAGGUCCUUUUCAACCCAGGCCAUUCUGUGAUUCUGUGAUGGAGUGCUUCCCGGCCCCAGGGCAGGGCAUGGGGCUGCAUGUGCCACCUUUAUCUGAAAUGCUGAUCUGCAUGUCUUAUAGAGUCCUCAGAGCAACUGGAACCAUGUAAGAAGAAAAGGAGGGGCUUUGUUUGCUCAUUAUGAGCGUAGAGUUCAUGAUUCUGAAAGAUGUCAGCGUUACAAUGUAAACAUAUCUGCAACACUUGUCUUAGGCAGUAUGGCACGCAGAACCCUGUUUCAGCUUAGAACAGAAAUCAUUUUUAGUGGUGAAAAUGGGUCAGAGUGUGGCAGUCCUCUCUGGGCUGGGACAUGGAGACAUCUGAAGAGGCAUCUAAGUCUGACAGUAGAUUGGAAUAUUAGCUUCUUGAUUAGUAGUACCCAUCCAUUUCAUAAAGAUUACUCAUUGCUUUGAAACCAAUUCAACAGAAUGUAAUACGCAGGGAUAACUUUUCUGCAGAUGCUUUGAUCUCUGAUAGCAUUUUCCAGUGAUUCAGCCAAGCGUUUUGGGACAAGGGGAAACCAUGGUUAGGUCACCUAAUGGCAGGAAAAACUCUGCCUGAAGAAGAAUAAGAAAACAUCUCUGGAAGACAGCUUGAUGUGCUGUGGGACCUGGGACUCGGAAAUACCUUAAUUAAGCUGAAACUGAUACUGUGUCAUGGUGGGGUAGAGGAGUGGGACCUAAAUAACCUGACCUCUGAGAAGAAUAUCCAGUGCAUCGUUAGGAUGCUUUGUCUGACUUCUUGUGGUACUCAGCAGGACCUCUGCAUCAUCACAGAACAAAUCUGCGGCUUCACAGACACAUCUUGAGUAAUCCUGACUGAGUUGUUUGGGGAGAAAGCUGAAAUGCUUGUAGUUUGUCCACGUUGUGAAGAGCUCCUGAGGAAUGUCGGAAGAAAACUGUCCUAAUGGCUGUCUGUUGUGGGUGACCCAGUUGAACAAACAAUUGGAUGGAUGGCUGCUCCUAGCUGAAGGGCUCUCACAGGGGAGCAGGAAUGGCACUCUGCAUUGGCUGCUGGGGCUUCUGCUCCCAGCCCUCAUCGGUCCGUUCUUGAAUCAUUAUGAUUUGCAGAGCAUCAUUUGAAAGGAAUCUGAAAUAGGUUUUCACACGUUGAUCACAUCCCCAAGAGCUUUGUAUGUCUCUGCAUCAGUUGGGUGUUUUUAAAAAACACAGAAGCUCCACAGGUCUGUCACCCCACCCUGCAAUAAGAGCAGUCGAAAGCCAAUGAAGAGUGCAUCUCUUCUUGCUGUAACGGUACUGUCCUAAAAUAGGCCCUGGUGUUCCAGUGCGCAGAAGGUGAAGGAUGGCAUAUAAACAAUUGCUUGUUUACUUUUCCCACACUUGGGAACUGGAGUAAAUUCAGCUCAGAGAUUCCACAGAAACACUUCCGAAUGGGGAAAUAGGAGCUGGGAAACAAAGCUGUGGAUUUGCUUAGAAGCAACCCGUUUCUUCCUCAAAAUAAGUCGAUGCCUUAAUCAAGUAGUCAGGUGCUUAAGGAAUCACAGGGAAUGGAAGAGACAGCUUUCCAGGCUUGUUGAGAAGAGGGGGAGCUGAUUGCCCACAGGAUGCUGCUCAGUUGUGGCAGAAGACAAAGGGAAUGGGCUGGUGGCAGAAAAGAAACCCCUGCUGGAGCCAAGAGAUCUCUGCUGUGCCUUGUUCUAUGGAAGGGUCACUAGGCCGCUGUCUCUGUUGCUGCUAAAGCACCUUUACAGACAGGCGUAGGUCUUUCUGCUAUUUGCUGUUGUUCUCUUUUGAAAUGGAGCAGUUUUUCAGAAGAAAGCACUCCCACUGAUCUUGUUCAUAAAUAUAGAGGCGGUGUUGUGAGUACGUAGUGUUACUCCGUCAGGCUUCAGGGCAGUGUAGGCUCAGAGCUUGCCAACAUAAUCUUUGGCCUUCUCUGCUAUCUGGGUUUGGAGCUUCAGGAUCUCUCAGGCUAUGGCGUGGGGAAGACCCCAGUUGUAGAUCCCCUGCAGUCACUCCAUCAGCCUGCACUAUCAGGCGCAGCAUCUCAGCAAUACCGUGUUUGUACAGCGCACACACCCUGCAUGCACCUACAAGCCUGCUUUAUCACUGCUAAGUCUCUGCUGUGAAAGUAGAUUUCUGCUGGUGGAACUGCCCUGCCAGGCAGGGAGGUGUGCUGACUGCUCUGUCCUGUCCUGUGCCGUUGUGCUGGGAGAGACAGACCGGGAAUCGGGCUCACAGAGCAUACAGGUCCCAAGUUCUUUUGUACCUCAUUUUGCUUUCACACUAUCACUGUUACCUGUGUGCAUUAUUACGCUGCCCAAUCCAGUAUUGAUCUUCAUAUUGUGUUUUAACAGAUUGGAGUUAGGAGCUUCUUCUGUCUCCUUUGCCUGUGUCCCAUGACUGUGGCAUAUGCUGCUUUUUAACCUUACCUUUGUUUCUCUGAGUCCCUUCUUAAAUAGGAUUUACAAUAGCUGUGAUUUUUCCUUACAUUUUCUUUUCUUCACCUUUUUCCCAAGUGGAUGGAAAUCUUAGCUUCUUCCUAAGCAAGGUGAAAGUAUCCCGCAUGAAGAAGUUUUGUGUGGCUCCAGCCACAGAGAUGCUGAGUACUUGUUUCUCUCUAUUUGACUAGAAAACAGUACCUGGCGAUGGCUGUUUGUUUAUAUGGUGUGCUUGGGUGUGAGGGGCAAAGCAGGCAGAUUUACAUUUACAUUUCUGUACUGCUUUUUUCUCGAGCUCCCACACAUGAGCAAUUGCCCUGCAGGGUAGGGUGGGGGUGAGAUAUGUGUGUUGCUCUUUAUUUCGCUAUAAACUUCGCUCUGAUUACUAGGACUUCUCCAGGGAAGACGAGCCCUGCCUUACCAUUGCUGGGGGUAUAAAUCACUCCUAAUUAAUACCACAGUUAAGCUGCCUGGAGAGGAAGGCAAAACUCAUACGCUUUGGCUGUGUCAUUCCAGUAAACCUGUAUGAGAGGGAGGCCAGACUGACAGCCUGCAGGCUCUGUGCCCUGGGGCAGAGACACAGGUUGGUAUCAGGAUGAAGUUGCUCAAGCUUUGGUGAAGUUGCUCAAGUUUUGACCCAGAUCCCAGCUGUCCAGGACAAUUCCUGACCUGUGGAGCUCUUGAAGGAGGAGCACAAGGCAGACAUGAGGAGGUAGGUGCAGCACCUCUCCAUUUUGUAUGUGAGGUUUUUGAGCAACACACUUGCCAAAGGUUUUGUGGGGAAUCUGCAGAGCCAGGAAUUUAUUAACCCCAUGCCCAUCUCUCAGGCUGGUGCCAGAAGCAGACAGGUAGUUUGCUAAAUGCUUCAGCCCAACUCCUGGAAAGUAUGCCUGCAUUCCCACUGAAACCAGCAAGUUCCCCAGUUUAGAAUGCAUUUAUUUUUAAACUGUACAGGCAGAGCCUACAUGUUUUGACAAAGUAGCGCCAGAGCAUUGAGUGCCUUGGAGAUUCUUAGCCCUUACUGACUGCUCGCUGAAAGCACUGCCUCAGCCUCCUGUGGACUCCCAGACAGUGCCUGAGAGAGUGCGUGGUGCCUUUCUCAGCCUGGCCUUGCCCUUUUUAGCUUAAAUCAAUAGCAAAGAUGAAGAUAGAGUGCAAAGGGAAAGAGUUCAGAAUGAACAGUGCUCACUAAAUAGACAACCCACAUGUGAAAUGUAGGAUUUUAAAUGCAAAUGCCUUCAUCUUGUCUUAUCAGAGCCAAUUGGUUUAGCCCCUGUGCUACACAGGUUGAGUUUAAAUGCUGUACGGAUAACUGAGCUGACACCAGUAUUUACAUGGGACAACUGAUGAUGCAGUGUUGUAGUUGGCUUCCAGGAAAGAUCUUACCCCGGGCAGAACAGAGUCAAUCUCCACCAAGGUUGUACUUUCUCAUCAUUAUUUCUCUCCUGUGUGAAGUGUAGGCAGUGGGCACCGAGCUUGGCACCACAGCACAGUGGAGCAGGAAGUAAUGGGGAUUUCCCUGAUAGCCCCAAGGUCACAGUAGUGAGCAUGCAGCAACUUGGGAAAAAGCAGCACACAGGAGAAUGUCAGAAGGUCCUGUCACCCUGGCUGUCCUGCAGCCUUGUUUGUAAGGUAAGGGAUGAGAACAUCUUGGUAACAACAUGCUUCAUCCCCCCUCCUUACAAUAAAGUUGAGGGGGUUUUCUGGGAAGGCUAACAGGUUGAAAGCAUUCCAGUUGCCACUGGUUGACUUAGCUCAGUGGAAGAAUAUGUGCCUGCCCAAAGGAGCUUUCUCCUUACCCUAAAUCAUGCAUUUCUUCCCUCUUCUGUCACAUCAGCAGACUUGCUCUUUCAACCUCCAGGGAACUGUUUUGUUUUUGCUUUCAAUAGGGUCAGUUUUCAGGCAAGUAAGUAGGCUGGUUUGACCCUGUAAAACUCCAUUCCCAAACUGUGGGAGUGAUGGAGACAACAAAAGCAAGGGGACAGGAGUUGUAGGGCAGACCCACCUCUUUUGGCAGUAACUCGGUUUUAGCUUUGAGUUUUAGUAAUUGUGAAAGUGCACGAAAAGCAGUCUUUUCUGUUUGGGAUGAAUGAAAGCCUUCCAGGUGUAAGCAUGGGGAAUUAAUUACAGCAUUCGCCCAGCCCAGUUCUUCUCCUGGAGUCUGACACGUGGCUGCCUCAUGUGAUGUCUCUUGGCACCGCAGAGACAUAGCAUCACCCACAGCUCUGGCAGCAGCUGCUGCUUUGAGCCUGUCAGCCUCCUCCACUGGCUGGAGUAGCAGUGAGUUUCUGCAGGUGCACGGCAUGCAUCGCCAUAGUCCCAGUGAAGCCACCGAGUGCGUGGAAGUCUAUGAAUGAGAGCAGCUAUCCAAUCAAGAAGGUAUUUUCUACACUGCAGGUUAAAUGGCCAUCUUUCCCUCAAGAGAUGUGUGUAUAAAAGACGUGGCUGGUUUUUACAGACAGUACUAUGAAGACGUCGGUCGUUUUGAGUUGCCCUUUGCACCGCAUCACUGUUCUGUGCUUUGGAAGUGGUUGCAGGGCUGGCUCAAGUUCUGUCGGCUGUGCCUGGGGUUAAAGCAGAUGCUUUGGCCCUCUGAACCCAGCCUGGCAAGAUGAGGGCAGGGAGGCAGGAUUUCCCCUCCGUUGUUUUCUUUGAGUUCCAGAGCUUCCAACGAGGCUGGGAGAGGGGAAGGGUGACCAAGGAUAUCUGAGCAUCUUCUCUGUAAGCAAGGCCAAUUAUACACACGGCAAUUACCUCAGUGUAAACAGCCCAUCGUACCGAGAUGGGGAGAGCCUUUUGAGCCUGGGGAGGGUGCUUUGAAGUGCUUCUGCUCAGAGAGUGUCCAUUAAUGCUGGGAAUUGCACCGGCCGCAGCCCUCGGCUGCGUUAAGAGGAGUUGGGCGGCGGUGCCUAUUGAGCUGGGCGGGAUGGCUGUUAGGUGCCCUCGGUAUGACAAAGCGGUCGUUAACAUUCCAGCAGCGAUGGGGCAGUAGCCAGUAGCAACGCUUGCCUGCCUCGGCCAGCCCUGCUUGCUGCCGCUAGCGGUGCCAUAAGGGCACUUCUCUCCUGUACGUGCUAGAAUUCCACUUUCCUAGCGGUAUCUGCACGAUUUCUCGCCUGUACUGUGGAAGAAUCUUAGCAAGUCACACCGAAGUUAAUAUAAAUUAUCCAUCUCUCAGCAGGGAGGAGGAUUAUGUCAAUUUCGGCUAAUAGCUGCCAAAUAAUAGACACACAGAUGCUCUUAAAUUGGUUUAAUUCCCGUUGGCUGGCCCUGACAAUUGGGAGCAAAGAUAAAUAUAUACAAAGCAUUCAAAGCUCGGGGUGUUAUGAUGCUAAUUGAAAAGUCACCAAAGGAAGCCCUCACGGUCUGUGGGAACCUCGGUGCACGGGAUUAGCGGCUAAUUAGCGGCUAGGAGCUGUCUCAUCCCGAGCACAGGCACCUCUGCCCAUGCAGUCAGUCCUUGCCCUUGAUACCAGCAAUAAAGAAACUGCUGUGGGCAGCAGGCAGUGUGAUGGUAGGAAGAUAACGUAGUAUUAGCAGUGUAACAAGUUCUCCCAUCAUGCACAGAAGCAAUGUCAGAAAUGCUUGCUGUGUCUUGGGCCACAGCAAACAUAAAGGCAUUUGAGGCCUGAGCUCUUCCCCUCCCCCCCCCCCCCUUUUUAACAAAUGCACAAGUCUUGUUAUGUGACUUUUUACCUCUUUCAUGUCAUGUUUGCAGCAGAGGACAGAACACAUUCUGGAGACCCCGAGCCUCAAACCCUGCUGUGGACUCUGCAGUGAGUGCACACAGGCAGUCGCAGCCCCUUCCUUGCACGGUGCUUUAGAAUCGUGACAUUUAAAAAACAUACAAUCCGUCUGUCAGCAUCCCAGUAUUUCCCUCUCAAGCUGUUCCCUGGUGGACAACUGAAGAAUCCGAGUUUUUCAAAUAACACACUUGUGUUAUGUGAACCCAAGGGCUCGGCCUGUGGAAAAAGAGAUUUGCAAAAUGGUACGAAUCAGUUGCAUCACUGGCACCGCUGAACUAAUCAGGGCUUUGUUUAAUGAGGGGUGCAUCUAUUUUGCUCAAUUACUUCCCGCUGGUGAGAAUCCUUCAUUUAUACUUUCAUUUGGGAAUGCUGGUUUUGGAACUCUCCGGAGUUACAUGUUUUCUUGUCCUCACAUUUGCUUUUUCAGAUCUGAAACAGCUGUAAACACAGCUUUAAACUGUUACACACCCUCACAAUUAAAUUAACCAGUAUUACACUUCACAAAGACACCAAGGAGCAAUAGCAGGGAGGUUCACUUGUGAGCUUUGGAGGAGCUAAAAAGCUUCUUUCCUGUGUUAACCAGCUCUGAGUAAUGCGGUUUUGCACAAGCUGGAGUCAGAAGUGGGUAAUGUGAGGAACCCAUGCUGGUAGGCAGUGACCUGCAGUGCGUGGGCUGGUGGCCUAAGUCAUCUCUUCUGGCAACCAGCAGAGGGGUGCUUGUAGCCUGGUUUCCUUAACCCUCCUGUUGACCAGCCCUCCAGACAGCUAACUCUCUUCUCCAGCUGCUGAGAAAUAGCUAAAUCGUAGAAUCAUUUAGGUUGGAAGAGACCACUGAGAUCAUCCAGUCCAACUGCCAACCCAUCCCCACCAUGCCCACUGACCAUGUCCUUCAGUGCCACAUCUCCACAGUUCUUCAACACUUUCAGGGACGGUGACUCCACCACCUCCCUGGGCAGCCUCUGCCAAUGCCUCACAACUCCUGAGAUGAAAUUUGUCUUUAUAUCCAAUUCCCCACCCCCCAGUACAACUUAAGGCCAUUACCUCUUGUCCUGUCACUAUUACAUGGGAGAAGAGGCCGACCCUCACAGUCAUCCACAGUGAGAGCUAACAAACAAAGAGGACCAUCCUUCAUAUAGCAGCUAUGUUGUAGAAGUGAUGAUCUGGGAAGAGGGUAGGGAAAAGUGAACAGACUUUUAGGCAUAGAAGUUCUUCUACAGAUCUGAAAGAAACCUCAGACUUCAAGCUAUUUUGCCCCCUCACAAAAUCCUGUAGAAAAAAGAGAUAACAGCCCCAUACAACCACCUCUGCUGUAGAUAAGCUGCCCAGCUGGCUGGGCAGCCCAAAGAACCCAGCUGCUCCAGGAGUCUUAAUAGCUUUUGUGGAGCAACAGAUUCCUGAAAUGAUGCUCACCGUUCAGUAUGUUUGUCAGAACUGGAAUGAGAUACACAGGAAUAAUAUUUUUCGGCCAAGGUAUUUCUAACUGGUUCUCGGUGGGUAUUAGUAAUAAUACAGCUGUCAGCUUUCGCAGUGUUUUUUAAGCAGAAGUGCUUUGUAUCUUUCAAGGUGUCUUCCCUUUUAUCUUAAGCAAAAUACCUGUGGGAACCAUUAGUAAUGGUUUCUGGUACUGCUGGACAAUAGUAGUGUGAAGAUACAGAGUGCAGCAACCCAUGCAGCAUAGGAACCCAGUGACAGGCUGGAAGGCACUCUGUGCCAGAGCGUGGCAAGGAGCGAGCAGCAGAUCAGACAGCUGCUUAAUCCCUCUGUGAGUUGAAAAGAGGGAGGAGACGCAAAUCAAGAAGAAGGAGAGGACCGUAGAGAAGAAACUGCAGAGGAAUUCCUGAUUUCUAUAGGAAUCUCUGCAUGACACACUGGGUCUGUGGGAGCCCAGAGCUCAGCUCAGCCCCUCAAAACCUGGUACCACAGCUGUAACUCUCAGGAUCUCUUCUGAGCAAAUCUCGUGCCAUUUAGGGAAGGUGCUGGGCUGAGCUGAAGCUGUGCAAGUACAGCUGUUCUCAUAUCAGCUAAGAAAAAGUAAAAAUCAGUUUAAAGCAUUAGCCUGUUCCAAAAAAAAAAAAAAACAGUGCUAAACCUCAUUCUAGAGCUACUGUUAAGUUGAAAUAUAUAUAUUUAAGUGCUCCUUCAAAUAAAGCCUAAAAACCCAUUUGCUUUUCCAGUGGUCUAAUGACUGCUUUUGCCAGGUUACUUCCAACAUAGAAUUCACCUACAGUCUAAAGCGAUGCCUGGGAGAUCCAAGCAUUCUGGUAUGACUGGGAUAAAGCUGAGGUGAGAGGCAGGUCAGAAUCGGGUGUACCAUGGAGGUAUCUGCAGCCUUUGUGGGGAAAGAUUACCAUCUUGGUGGGGAGAUCGUGUUUCUGUUAUUACCAGUAACAACUGGUUUCUACUAUCUACUCUCCCCUCUUUGUUGUCCGGUAGGCCCUGACAACUGAGGGACUCAAUGCAGCACGCAGGUGAGGCUGAGGCUGGGCUCAGAAGUGCCGUCAGAUGGUGUCACGCACGUGGGGAUGUGUGGUAGCACGGCCCCGGUCGCAGAGAGCCUGCAGUCCGAGCCAGGAGCCUGCAAGAGGGCAGCACGGAAAAGCAGUGACACCUGUGCUGUUUUUAAUGGGAUUUGUAGCUGUGGGGUUUCGACAGAACCCACUUUUUCUUUCAGUGCAUUCUGACGUGGAAGUAUGUGAAAUGUAUUACCACAAGAGCAGGCUGUCUUGUGAGUGCUUCUGCGGGGCAAUGUCUUUUCUGCAGAGCUAGCCAUGGGGACCGAGCUUUAGCUGGGAGCAGCUUGGUCGGCGCCAUUUUCCCUCUGUGGCCUGUGCAGGAAGCUAACACCAGCCGACUUUGCACACUGUGGGACCGUAACAGGCUGCUGCCUGCGCCCGGGAGCGCAGACCCUCCUGCUGCACUCGGCAGAGCAAGUCUGAACUGGGUGCAUGGAGCAGGAAAUGCCAGUUCACAGCCCUCCCACGUGGCUCCAGGCUGCGUGCACAAUGACUUUUCCAGCCCCCCAGACUCUGUACACAUGAAUCCCUUCACCGUCCAGACGCCGUUUUGGGAUUGGCACAGCAUUCUGUGAUCUUGGAAGGCCGCUCAUGUGGUGUGGGAGCCAUCGCACACGCCUCUUGCAUUGGGUGCCUGCUGUGCUCCGCUGCAGGUGUUUCAUACUUGACAAGCAAGUCAUUGUGAGACUGGAGAAGCCACAUCCUUCUUCCUGGUCUCUGUAGUUCCACCUGCAGAGUUAGAGUAGUGUGUUCCAUCUUCCUAACCAAAGGAGACACAGAUGGGGCCUAAGUCAUCAUGUCAGCUGUGUUCGUGAGAGAAAGAGAGUAAAAGGCACCCAGGGACCGAGGCAAGAAGUGAACAGUGCCAUUCCCUUCCCUGCAUCUCCCAAUCUGCCCCAGACUUCCUCAGCUGGAGCUUGGAUCCACCACUCUACAUUUCAAACCUCUGAGAGUGUGAACACAAGGAAUUUAAUCUUUUCAUUUGGUUACUGCUGCUCUCUGCUAUAUCAGCACAGCCGCCAGAGCUGUUGUAAACAUUUGAAGAGUGGCGUCAAUUAAAGGUGACUCAGGAACAAAUGUGAUAUGAAGAAUUUGGAAGGGUUGGAAGAACAGCCAGUGUGCCAAAUGCUUUUCUAAAUGGACAACUAGAGGGAUGAAGAAGAGGGUGGUUUGGGAGUCACCCUUCCCACUUCAGCUGUGCGGUUAUGGUGACUACAUGUCCUGUUUGGAAGCACACAGUGACUCGGAGGGCCAUCAUCCCACCAGUGCAUGAAGCUUGCAGUGAGUCAGCCCCUGUAUGUUACAAGGCAGGAUGGCUCCAGCUGCUAUUCAGGCUCUGUACAGUUUGACACUACUUCAGGGCGGAUAUGGGGACUCCAGAGAAUAUGGCAAGGGCUGUGUUGCUCACAGGUAACUGCCAGUAAGGAGCCCACCAGGUAAAGUGGAUCAGAGAUGGCAUCCAUAAUAGUCUCUCACCCCAGCAAAGCAUAUUCUAGAAGAGCGGUGUUGAAAAAGGACCAACUCAAAGAAAUUCACCACCACAGGUUAUUCCCAGGCAGCACUACCCUACGCGAGAAGUAACAAAACACAUGACCUUACUCUCUGUGAAGUGUUUGUGGAGCUUUUGUCACCAUAGCACCGAGUCACCAAAUACAGAAAGGUCCCUCCCGUGAUUCAUAACUGAACCCACAGUGGCUGCUGCUAUUUUCUGCAGUCCUUCUCACCCUGCCAGUGGAUGGCAGCUGAGUGGAGCAGUGCUGAGCACUCGCCGGCCUCUCUCUCUUCCCAGUGCCUUGCAAACAACUCCCAGUUCUCAGCAGCUUUUUGAGCUGUUCUGGGCACCUGAGGAGAGCAGGUGGUUCUGCGGUCAUUUCAUACAACCACAGGUCUGGUCAGAGUAAGGACACGAAGUGAUCUGCACUAUAGGACCUUGGGCAGAGUUGGCCAUCACCAGACUUCAGCUCUUUGUGAAGGAGUUUUCUGACAUAGUUAUCAGUCUGAGACUUACAGAUUAAGAAUUUUAUAGCCAAAAUACUUCUGCUACGCGUGACAGUGACAAUAGAUAACAAUACAAUAUUUGUCCAAUCGGUUUUCAUAUUUUUGGACACGAGUCGCGUUUUUUACCUUCCGAUGCUGGACUGCUCUGAGAUCCCAAUGUUAUUGGAGGUCUUUUCCAACCUUAAUGAUUCUGUGACUACAUUUUCCCACAUCACUAGUGAUAGGACAAGAAGGAAUGGCCUCAAGUUGUGCCAGGGGAGGUUCAGGUUGGAUAUUAGGAAAAAAUUAUUCUCUGAAAGAGUGGUCAGGCAUUGAAACGGGCUCCCAGGGGCGGUGGGGAAGUCACUGUCCUUGGAGUUGUUCGAGAAGCAUUUAGAUGUUGUACUAAGGGACGUUGCUUAGUGGAGAAAAUAUUGGUGGUAGGUGGACGGUUGGACUGGAUGAUCUUAGAGAUCUUUUCCAACCUUGGUGAUUCUGUGAUUACUGGAGGGGGAACAAGCUACCACGGACUGUAUCUGCAGGAGAAUCGCUUCCUAGAUGUAAUCUGAACCGUGAAUGGCAUUUCAUUUGGCAGAACUAGAUAUUUUGGGUGGGACGCGAAACUGGAGAAGUGGGAUGGCAGAAGUGGGUGUGUUAGUACAAAGUUGGUAGAGGUCUGGGAGCUCUUCAGCAGGAGGUGGUGGCUGGGCAGCAAGAUCUGCAGGCAUGGCAGUGAGAAACCCACCAAUGGACACUGAAAAAAGGCACCUCCAGGCAGAGGAGGUGCAGAGGCUGCUGCAGAACGGGUGAUGGGACCUGUGGGCAUGGCCUCAUGGCGGCAGGCUCAUGGGGAUUGGGAACGGCCCCCGAGGAGACUGAGAGCACAGGAAGUCAGCCUUAGGGGGAGUCCUGGGUCUGCACAGUGCAGAGAGCGGAGGAGGUAUUCCUCAAAGAAGUGACUACCACGAAGCAAACAGAACAAUCUCAAUUAAAGGGCAGUAGUAGCACAGGACAAUACCAACCUUAACAUAUUCCAGGUGGUAAAGAAUAGAUGGCCUCCAACCAGGAGAGGAGCAAGUUACUGGAAGAGAUCCCUGGGAGGAGCAGUGGGAAUGGGAGUGUGGGUGCUUGAGAUGCAGCAUGGAGGGGAGGCCCUGUCGGCACUGCCUGGAGCACAGUGGGUACAUGAGCCCUCCAGGAGCACCUGCUUGAGCAGCUUCUGUUUUGGCAGCUCCCAGCUGUCAGAACCACCACUCUUUCAGAGCACUUGGGGAGUGUGACAGCAGGUCUUCCGCAGCAUCAGUUGUUUUAUUUCUGUGAAUAAGGUGAUUCAUGUAGGCCUAAUUAUGUACUGGCAACAGUAGUAGAAAACCUUGAGUACUGUGUUCAGUUUGGGAUGCCUCGCUACAAGAAGGACAACAAGGACCUGGAAUGUAUCCUCAGAAGGUCAACAAAGCUGUGAGGGGUUUGGACCACAAGUCUUAUGAGGAGCAACUGAGGGAACUGGGAUUGUUCAGAAGAGGAGGCUCAGGGAAGACCUUACUGUACUCUACAACUGCCAAAAGAAGGUUGUGGUGAAGGGGCGGUCAGCCUCUUCUCCAGAGUAACAGGGAUAGGAUGAGAGGUGAUGGCCUCACGCUGCGCCGGGGGAGGUUCACGUUGGAUAUUAGUAAACAGUUCUUCUCAGGAAAAGAGGUAGUGCAUUAGCACAGGCUGCCCAGGGAGUGGUGGAGUCACCAUCCCUGGAGGUGUUCAAGGGAUGUGUACAUGUGGCACUGAGGGAUGUGGUCAGUGGGCAGUAUUGGUGAUAGGAGGACGGUUGGACUGGAUGAUCUUAGAGGUCUUUGGCAACCUGAAUGAUUCUAUAAUUCUAUGAUUCUAUGAAAAGAGAAACAGAAGAGAGAAGCUAUCUGUGUUUAACAAAACCAAUACACUGCCACCAGUGAUUAAAUGCUGACACGCUGAACGUGUCUCACCCAAGGCUUGUAGGGACAAAGCAAACAGUGUGCUGUUUGUCUGCAGCCCAGCAAUCGAUGGCAAGCGUUUGUGGGAAAUAAACCAAUAAACCAGCACCCUGGCUCAGUGUAUUCCUUCCUUGCCAGGAAUAACAGGGGUUAUAGGGGAUGAGAAGCAUCCCUGGGAUGGUCACAGAAGCACAGCUUCUCCUUCAGACCAGGACAGAUCAACGUGAAGGAGUAAUGCCUUCCCAAGGAAUAGUUUGUGAUGGAAGAGCUCAGGUCGUAAAGGAUUUGUUACUCCAAGUGACAUGCAUAAUUAAUUAAAUCUUUUCAAUUCUGUGAAAUAAAGAGCAAACACGAGUCCCCACACCCAAGCAAACACACAGAUAGGCUCUUGUGCAACUCCACCCCCCGUGGCUGCUUUCUGCCAACUUCCGCAAUGACUUAAUUUAAACAAAAUCCGAGGACAGGC